CUUUGUCCAACGUCCGGACCCACUCAAUGCCUUGCUAACCUACCUUUGGCUGCCAUUUGGCUUCAUCCUCUCCAUUAUUCGUGUCUACUUCAAUCUACCUUUACCCGAGCGUAUCGUACGCUACACUUACGAGAUGCUCGGCAUUCACCUCGUGAUACGCGGAAAGCGACCUCCCCCACCAUCUCCCGGGACCCCAGGCAACCUCUACGUCUGCAAUCACCGCACAGCUCUUGACCCGAUUGUGAUCGCCAUCGCACUUGGACGCAAAGUCUCGUGUGUCACAUACAGCGUAAGCCGUCUCUCGAGGCUCCUAUCUCCAAUCCCAGCCAUUGCUUUAACUCGUGAUCGUGCGGCCGAUGCUGCCCGAAUUUCAGAACUGUUGCAAAAAGGUGAUCUAGUAGUUUGUCCGGAGGGGACCACGUGUCGUGAGCAAUUCCUGUUGAGGUUCAGUGCUUUGUUCGCAGAAAUGAGCGAUAGGAUCGUCCCCGUUGCCGUCAAUUGCAAGCAGAGCAUGUUCUACGGGACGACCGUGAGAGGGGUCAAAUUCUGGGACCCUUAUUUCUUC
rnacentral:lncRNA from 1 species